GUGGUGAUGGCGAGAGGCACAUGAACUUGCAGACGCAGGCAGGGCUGACAAGAUUCAGCGCCAGAAUGGCGUCUCGAGCGGAAUCGCGACCGCUCGCUUCAUGGGGGAAUGCGAGUGGAUUUUUGCAGUAGGAGCUUGUUGUAGAGACAGAUAUGUUGGAUCCAGUUGGAAAGGGCGCUGUUGAGAACAGUUACAUGUACAAGGAGCUCUGAAUUUAGUUUACUGUCUUGGAAUAUGUUAGAGGAAUUGGAGUAAGUAUUGUUCAGAAAAGUCUUGGCGUAUUAUACCAAGAAAUGCCGCAUUUGAUCAGUUGAAGGGAUAGUUAGCGAUGUGCUCGUUUCGUCAUAAUCGACAGGAGUGACUUGAUCAAAGAUUCUUGUCAUUCAUGAUGAUUCUCUCGUGAACAAUGGGGAGAAGUGCUUGAAUUUUAUAACACAAUUGACGUCUUAAGACAUUCUUGUGUGCGAUUGUUAUGCAAGGUAAAGCAGCAUUUAAUAUAUUACAAACUCUGAAGCGAA